AGCUCCGGUGGCCUAGUGGUUAGAUUGUUUGCCUUAGACGAGGGAGGCCAAGGGUUCGAACCCCGGCCGAGUCA